rnacentral:lncRNA from 1 species
UUCUAACUUAGUAUACAUGUUCCCUAUGAUAUGAUCUUUUAAAUUUUAAUGCCAAAUUAGAGAGUUUACCCCAAUUUCACGGUCCACUGAACAUAGAAAAUGAUAGUGCGAGUGGGGCAUUCGUGUACUGGGGACACAUUCUUGUUUUACAAUGCUCUAUGAUGAUCUAUAAGCAGAGUUUGAUGGAUUCUACACCAAAACAUGUCUUGAUUAGCCAAUACUGCAAUAGUCAGGAAAUUGUUUGAAAGUGUUCAAUAAUACAUAUAUUAAUUUGAAGUACAUUUAAUCAAUUAUAUCUAUGUAUUACCUAAAUUUGUUUUUAAAUGAAAAUCAAAUCAUGCAGGUGAUUGCGUCAGGAAACACUUUCAUUUUCAACAAAAGAAUCGACUUAUCUACAAACUUUUUUUGAAAGUGUAGAUUAUUUUAAGUUACAUGCUAAUGUUACCUAUUGUUCUCAUUGUAUUAUAUUAUCAUUGUUGUUAAUCAAUCCUGG